rnacentral:rRNA from 1 species
ACUCCUACGGGAGGCAGCAGUGGGGAAUAUUGCACAAUGGGCGCAAGCCUGACGCAGCAACGCCGCGUGUGGGAUGACAGCUUUCGGGUUGUAAACCACUUUCAGUGACGACGAAAAUGACGGUAGUCACAGAAGAAGGUCCGGCCAACUACGUGCCAGCAGCCGCGGUAACACGUAGGGACCAAGCGUUGUCCGGAUUUAUUGGGCGUAAAGAGCUCGUAGGCGGUUCCGUAAGUCGGAUGUGAAAACUCAGGGCUCAACCCUGAGACGCCAUCUGAUACUGCGGUGACUAGAGUCCGGUAGGGGAGCAUGGAAUUCCUGGUGUAGCGGUGGAAUGCGCAGAUAUCAGGAGGAACACCAAUGGCGAAGGCAGUGCUCUGGGCCGGUACUGACGCUGAGGAGCGAAAGCGAUGGGAGCAAACAGGAUUAGAUACCCUGGUAGCGACUGA